ACACUUUCCUUGGCCUUGUAGCUAAUAUAAAGUGUAAUAAUUGUUCUUAUCAGUUUAAUAUAUGAUAUAUAGACCAUAUUCACUUUGAUAUUAAAUUUAUUUUGUAUCUAUAUCAAAUAUGACUGUGUGUCGUCGUAAUGCAUGGGGCGUCACGUGCGAAGCACG
rnacentral:snRNA from 1 species